rnacentral:rRNA from 1 species
GAUAAACGCUGGCGGCGUGCAUGAGACAUGCAAGUCGAACGAACGAGCUUGCUCGUUAGUGGCGGACGGCUGAGUAACGCGUAGGUGACCUGCCCCGAAGUGGGGGAUAACUGCCCGAAAGGGUGGCUAAUACCGCAUGUGGCGACACUUUCAUUGGUGUCAUCAAAGCCGCGAGGCGCUUCGGGAGGGGCCUGCGUCCGAUUAGCUCGUUGGUGGGGUAAUGGCUCACCAAGGCGACGAUCGGUAGGUGGUCUGAGAGGACGAUCACCCAGACUGGGACUGAGACACGGCCCAGACUCCUACGGGAGGCGGCAGUCGGGAAUUUUGCUCAAUGGGCGCAAGCCUGAAGCAGCAACGCCGCGUGCGGGAUGAAGGCCUUCGGGUUGUAAACCGCUUUUGUCAGGGACGAUGAUGACGGUACCUGACGAAUAAGUCACGGCUAACUACGUGCCAGCCGCCGCGGUAAGAC